AGUCAUGGCCUAGUGGAUAAGGUGAUUGACUGGAGACCAAAGGGUCGUCGGUUUGAUUCCCAACUCCACUG